rnacentral:lncRNA from 1 species
AUGGAUCUUCAAGCCCUGUGUGAAUUGUUUAUAGAUGAUGCUCCUUUGCUUCGGACGAUUCCGGAACUGCCCACCUCAAUGGAAUAUCUAUCAAUUACCGGCUGUAGCGCCGAAUUGAAGGAGUACAUUGAAGGCUCUGGAAAAUUCGCCAAUAUUCCUCGUGUGGAGGUUACUUAAAAAUCUCCUUCAGAAAAAGAUCGAGUAUGUCCCGUCUCUUUACUAUCUCUAAAAUGCAACAUUUUCUUCUCAAUAUUAUUUGCAUCUUAGGCUUGUCUGACCCUGUCUUUUUUUUUUUUUUUGCCUAGUUUCAGCAAUAACAGCCUCUAAUAAAGCAUUUGGCAUUGGCAUAUAUAUAUCUAUAUGAGUCCGGCUGCUAUGCUAUUGAUAGCACCAAAUACUUGGUUGGUGCUAUCAAGUAUUUUGCCAUUAGAUUAACCUCUUUGAUUAUUUUUACCCGUUAGAUUAUACUAUUCAACCAACCACCCACUUAAUCCUCGGAGACCCAUAUCAUCCUAACCGUACAUUUCUCAAUCCAAUGGCUAAAACACUAAUAGCACCAAUUGCUUGGUGCUAUUGAUAGCAUUCCAGCCUAGUUCUAUAUAUAUAUAUAUAUAUAUAUAUAUAUAUAUAUAUAUAUAAUUAGCCUGGAAUACUAUUAAUAGUAAAACACUCUUUUUGCUAUCAAAUUUUUAACCCUUGGAUGAAAAAUUGUAGGGUCAGGAUGAUAUUAGUCGGUUAGAGUUGCGUGGUCCCCCUAGGGUUGAGUGGUCCCUACUGGGUUAUAAUAUUUAAUCCAAUGGUUAGAAAUAAUGAAAAGAGUUGAUCCAAAAGCUAAAAAACUGAUAGCAACAAUGAAAUUUUGCUACUAAUAGNGGACGAUUCCGGAGCUGCCCACCUCAGUGACAUUUCUAAGAAUUACCGGCUGUCUCCCCGAAUUGAAGGACUACAUUGAAGGCUCUGGAAAAUUCGCCAGUAUUCGUUGUUUGCAGGUUGGUCAAAAAUUUCCUUAAGAAAAAGCUUGGGUAAAUGCACUUUUUCUUUCCAAUAUUAUUUGCAUCUUAGGCUUGUCUGACCCUGUCUUUUUUUUUUUUU